CAAACAUGCUCUAAAAAAGAAUGACAACGAGUUCAUCCCAAAAAAGAAAGGCAGAAGACUUUGAUGAUUUACUACCAGAAGAUUGUUGGGAAUUUGUAUUAUCAAAACUCCUCAAGAUCGAUAACAUCGACCACCGUAACCGUUAUAUAAGGCAGACUGUAUCCUUUGUCUCCAAAAGGUUCUAUCCACCAGCGGUUGUUAAGUAUAUUCUCUCACAAUCUUGAAUCCAUCAGUAUGCCUCACUCGCAUUUUCCACAGAUUCCCAUACCUAACCUCCCUCGACUUCUCUCGCUUCCGCGGCGACGACCUCAACUCGCUUCUCUGUCGUGACUCCUGUUCUUGUUCCCUCUCCUACCUGACUUCCCUCAACCUCUCCAACCACCCCACGUUCCCUGCUUUAGGGUUGGAAAAACUUGUCAAAAAGACUCAAUUAUCCUUGACCUCUCUCACUUGUUCUAAUCUCGGUUCUCCUCUCAAUCACACUGAUAUAACCUUCAUAGCUGAUUCUUUCCCUUUGCUCGAACUCGAAGAUUUUGAUAUCAGUUUCCCCAAAGGAAGAAUAACCAGCGACGACUACGACAGUUGCAACAAUGCUUUAAAGGUUCUUGCUCAAAAGCUUUUAAAACUCCGCAAGGUUAAUCUCUCAGGUAAUUUCUAUGUUAACGAUUCAUUUUUUUUUUUUUUUUUUGAAUUGUGAAGCAACUGUAAGCUUCUAGAUGAGGUGGUUAUGUUAGAAUGUCCUUUACUAACUCAUGCUGGUAUUGCUUCUGCAAUCUAUGAGAGACCAAGUUUGUCUUCUUUCUCUGUUGGCAACUUUAUGGAACCAAGAGAAAGCAAAAAUGUUACUUCAUACUUCAUUGAUUCGUUGCAAAUGAAGAUCUUCCUUUAAGGAACCUUGUCCUUCAAGAUUGCUGCGAAUAUACAUAUUUCGGGAUCUCUUAUUUCUUGUCAAAGUGUAGAUUUGUGCAGCAUCUAAAUCUUCAAAAUGCAAAGUUUUUGAAUGAUGAUGACAACUCCUCAAUGUUGUAUCCAUAUCUUCGCGAUUUGGUGUCUAUAAAUGUCAGUGGUUGUAACAUGCUCACCAAUGUAACCUUGUUUGCAUUCCCUAGGCAUUGUCCUUUGCUUAGUGAUAUCAGAAUGGAGUCAACAAGCAUUGGAAUUGGCCCAUUGGGGGAACCGUUUGUAUACCGUCAAGUGAAGUCUCUCCAUUUGGCUAACAAUUCACAACUACUAAAUGUAAACAUCGAUAUUUUUGCUUUCAUGUUUCCCAAUUUGCAGCUUCUUGAUUUGAACUCUUGCCCCGGCAUAUCUAAAGAUAUUGGUAAUGUGUUAAGGAGAUGGGGUGAUAUUCGAUAUUUGGAGUUACCUUUCUAUCCACAAAAGGAACUACCUUGGAUCAACUUCAAAUCCAGCAAACUAGAGGUUUUGAACUUGUCAAAGUCAUGAGUUGAUGAUGAAGUACUUUAUGCGAUCUCAAAGUUUUGUCCUCAGCUUCAACAACUUGAUGUGGAAAAUUGCCGUGAUAUCACGGAGGACGGAGUUAGGCUAGUGGUAGUAAACUGCAAACACCUAAGAGAGAUUAAUUUGCAACAUUGUCGUAAAGUUUCUGCUAAUAUUGUCGACAGGAUGAUACUUUUGAGGCCAUCAUUGAAAAUAAUAGCUCCCCCUUAUCCUCAUGCAUUUCUCAGUCUCAGUGAUUUUGAAAAGGGACUCCUCUAUGUGCAAGAUCUUGUUCACUAGUAAUAUUUUAUAAGUCCUCUGUUCAAGUGUAAGAUUUUUUUGUUGUAGAUGUUACUUAUGUGACAUUUUUUUGUUGAAAAUGUGAACUUCCAUCUGUUUUAUUUUGUUA